GCUCAAACCUGUGAUCCCCUGCCUCAGAUGCAGAGUGCUGGGAUUACAGGCAUGUGCCACUACCCCAGCUACACUAUUGCAAUUUUUUAAAAGAAAUUGUUUUGAAAUAUGUUUUGCAUCACUAGAAGCAGCAAAAGUAGUGAAGAGACUUACUACAUGGUCUUCUUUCUGUGAAACUUUUUACAUAACCUCAGUACAUUAUCUAAACUGGGAAGCUGACAUGGGUCCAACACAUAGUCUAGGACUACUAUUGUGGCUCUUUCUCCCUCCUCCUCUAAUUUUCUCAUGUUAUUCUGUGCCUGCAACUUCUCUGUCCAAGACAGCUUCAAGAUGAAAUUCAGUGCCUAGAGUUCUAGUCAUCAUGAUUCCUUUACAAAUAGCAAGAAGAAAGGAAGAUGGAAAUCCAAAAAAAUCAAAGAGCUCACCCCAGUCAGCUUAUUUUAAGGGAUGUUCUUAGAAAACCACACAGUGCUUCUGUUUUGGCCAGAACGCAUCAGCAUGUGGAUCUCUCACUGUGACGAGGCUGGGAAAGUAGACAGACUUUUUGCUGAGUAUAUUGCCACUCUGGAUAGAAUCAAGAAAGAGGGGAGAGUGGAGAUUGGGCAGACAGUGUGCAAUUCCCAGGGAUCUGCUCAUUGGAAUGAAAUACAGGCAACUAUAUAUGCUAGUUGCAGUUGGGAAUCUUGACACUUACACUUUAUACUUUGGCUGUAAAAUAUGUCAUUCAUCCCACAUGAGUAUUUGGAAUGCUAUAAAUUGUUAGAUUUAAAAGUUGCAAUGGCCCAAACAUGGUGUUUUACCAUAAGCUUUGGUUGAAUGAAGUACACCUUGGCUUUGCAGAGCUCUUACAAACUGUGUAGACUGUUCAGUGUGGGUCAGGACAAGGAGGCUUCCUGGAGGAUGUGUGGACACCUGACUCUUCCAAAGGAUAUGAUGGAGUUGAGGCCUAAAGCAUUUCUGACAGGUUAGGAGCAAGGGAAGUGUUCAGACAGAAGGAAGAGCAAAUACAAGGCCUGCAGCUUAGAGGGAGGACAUGCUUCCAGGAGGAUCAGGAGCUCAUUAAGUCUGCCGAGGAAAGUGGGCAGGGAGUUUCUGUAUCAUGUAGAGUCUUGUUAUAUCUUUGGGAAAGUGAUUUAUUGAGGUGAUUCAUACAGUGGUAGUUUCAGGUGCUUUGACAGGCCAGAAGCAGGAGACAUUUUUGUAAAGUGGUAUUUAAUUCCCCUCACAUUAUCCCAGUGAGUCAGUACUAGUAGGCUUUUUUUUCUUUUUCCGGUACUGGGGAUUGAACUCAGGACCUUGUGCUUGCCAGGCAGGCGUGGGACCACUGAGCUACAUCCCUGGCCCUCUAUUGGUAGCUUUGAAUUGGGUGGUUCUAAUAUCUGCUGGAGAGGAAGUAACUCAUGUGUGGGAAUGAAUGUGUGCAUGUGAGUGCAAGUGUACCUCUGUGUGUGUGUGUGUGUGUGUGUGUGUAGGGUGAAAAAUGAAUGACAUCUGACCACCCUACCACAUGUCUUGAGACUUUCAAUACAGGAACAUAAUAUAUCUAUUUAUUUUACAUACUUUAAUUUUAGGGAUUCUUUUGUAGUUCCUAGUUUAAAGAUCUGAUGUAUGUUUUGUAAAAUUGAUUCAUCGGCAUUGUAUGUCUUUAACGCUAAGUGGAAUUCUAAUUUCAUUUUCCAAUUGUUUGCUGCUAGUAUG
ensembl:lncRNA